rnacentral:rRNA from 1 species
UACACCGGGAUGUUCAUAACCCUUUGUUGUCCGACUCUGUUGCCUCCGGGGCGACCCUGCCUUCGGGCGGGGGCUCCGGGUGGACACUUCAAACUCUUGCGUAACUUUGCAGUCUGAGUAAACUUAAUUAAUAAAUUAAAACUUUUAACAACGGAUCUCUUGGUUCUGGCAUCGAUGAAGAACGCAGCGAAAUGCGAUAAGUAAUGUGAAUUGCAGAAUUCAGUGAAUCAUCGAAUCUUUGAACGCACAUUGCGCCCCCUGGUAUUCCGGGGGGCAUGCCUGUUCGAGCGUCAUUUCACCACUCAAGCCUCGCUUGGUAUUGGGCAACGCGGUCCGCCGCGUGCCUCAAAUCGACCGGCUGGGUCUUCUGUCCCCUAAGCGUUGUGGAAACUAUUCGCUAAAGGGUGCUCGGGAGGCUACGCCGUAAAACAACCCCAUUUCUAAGGUUGACCUCGGAUCAGGUAGGGAUACCCGCUGAACUUAAGCAUAUCAAUA